rnacentral:lncRNA from 1 species
UUUUUGGUGAUUUGUCAUAUACUACAUGUAGUCCUCUCUAAUACCCCAAAACUGCCCCAAUACGUGAAGGGUUUGGGUCGUAUCUUUCGCAUCUUCUUUCACAAAUCUACCGUUGGAUUAUAUAGUGCACAUAUCACAAAGCACUCAAAUCUCUUCCAGCUGCCUUGAAGUGGCUAUUGCACCUAAUGGUUGGCAUUGCAAAAGAAGGUGAAUCAUUCUUUUGUGUGAAAGGUACAACCCAAACCCAAACCGGAGAUAAAGUUGGAUUGAAGUCUGGGUCUUAACGACCACCAAAAGACAUCACCACCAGGCUGAGCCAACACCUUCAUUGAAUUAAAAAAAUAGAAGAAAAAAAACAGAAGGAAAAACAGGUAUGGAUGGAAUGGCUAAGGCAUGUUCUGCUCCAAAUAAAUAUUCAAGAUACUUACUACUUCCUACUUAUAGAGCUAUGAGAAACGACUAGAGAAGAAUGGGGAAAAAAGGUUUUUAGCCGUAAGUUCCGUCCACAAUCUCCUCAGGGCUCCAUCUUUGCUGCUCAUUUUGCUUGUGUGGCAGAUAAACGCAUGUAUGUUGCAACAAUAAGGUAUAGAUUUUUUUAUAAAAAAAGAAAGUUAAGAGACCAAUAGUAAAAGCUUAAACAAGUUUCCCAUUGUUUUCACUAACAUAUUUAUGACUUAUCUUUUAAAGCAAAAUGGAGAAUAAAAUCAUCUCACAUUUUAUUGAUAAAUGAAAUGAGAAUGGAGAAAGAAGGAGAGAGGACGAAGAAGGGAGAGAGAAGACCCAAAGCAACAACUUAUACACAACCUUCCUAAACCAAUUAGAAAAUCUGCACAAGGCCACCAAGAGAUAUUUCUCAAAAAAGAAAAUAUCAAUUAAAAAAAACCACCAGGAAAUAUAUCCCAGUCUGGUCCUAUCACACCUCACCCCUAGGUAAACAAAUAGACUUAGGAUUGUUUAGUAAUUCGGGAGGAUUUGGGUUGAAUUUUUCUGUUGGAUUCAUGGACUAGGAAGUUUAUUUGAGCAUGACCUAUGCUAACCCAACACUUUCCAACCCGUGGUAAAAAGAAAAAAAAGAACCUCCAUGAAUCUUUUUUCCUUCUGAGCUUACGGGAGCUCUUAGAAAAUGUAGGCUAGGCAGGCCAAUAGGCAUCAUUCUUGCAGGAAUAUCCAAACAUGCCCUUAAACUUUUCCAACACUAUUUCUCCAAUCAAAUAUCAACGAGUUAAGAUUUCCCAGCACCAUCAUAGCUAAAUACUCCUUUUGUAGUAAAAUUCAAGUAUUUCUCUCCAACCAAACCACUCAACAGAUUGCAGCAAUAGCAUUAUCCCAUUCAGCUCUAAUAUUUGAGGCUGCUCUUCUUUCUCUUGCCACAAAGACACAUAUUUCAAAUGCAUCCAUUUCAUCCAAAUAAAACAUUUUAGAAAAGAUGAUCUACCAUUUCUUAUUAAAAGUCUGUCAGGAUUAGUAUUAACUUUCACAAAAGGUCAAUAAUUUGCUUGAACCAAGGUACGGCGAACCAGUACUGAUCGGCGUACUGGUGAAAACCGAUACCAAACCAGUUUAGACAGUUUCUGCGCACGGGCGCGCACCCGCAAAGUUCCCAGCGCGCUCGCGUACGCGGGCGAGUUUCGCUUCCCCCGCGCGCGGGCACGCUUCCUCGUUUACCCGCGCGGGCGCCUUUGUAGGUGCGCUGCCCAAAGCGGGGGACGCAUUGCCCAAAUCACGGUCGCGUUUCUCCGUGCGCGGGUGCCUUUGCAGGCACGUUUUUCCAUGAGUAGGCGUGCGGGUACGCAAGCAUACUGCCUCGCGCGCCCGCGUAUCGGCGCAAACCAGUCCGAUUCGCACCAAUAACAGGUUUGUACCUUUGCGCACCGGUGCGCACCGGUACACAACUGGUACCGCUCGGUUUCGACCCUUUCGGAGCCGGAACUAUUUUUCACGGUUGUACCAAACCGGUCCGGUACGGGUCGAACCAGCCGGUACGGGCCGAUUCAGCAUACCAUGGCUUGAACAUGUGUGAAGAUUCUGCAAAUACCAUUAAAUGGUUCACUUACCUUGGCAUGCCUCUUUGUAACAAAGAGGUUCCAAAGAAGUGUUGGCAUUGAAAAUGGAAUCUAGAUUGAUUUCAUGGAAGGAAAAUUUCUAUCUUUGGGAGGGUGUUUCACUUAAAGUAAAUGCUGUGUUGCCUACCUUACCAACCUACUUAAUAUUUGUGUUCAAACUAGCAGUAUGGGCGAGGAAAGGAUUGAUAAAUUACGAAGAUCUUUCUUAUGGAAAGAGAGCGAGAAGGUCAGCGGGUUUCAUUCUCUAGUGAGCUGGCCGAAUGUAUAGAUAUAAAGAAAAAAGGAGGAUUGGGGAUCAAGGACAUUAGAAAUCUGAAUAGCUCUUUCUUAGCUAAAUAGGCUCGGAAAUAGUUGAAACCUGGGUUGACUGAGAGAUAGAAAGACUUGAUCCAAUCAACAUACCACCGUAAAAAGAGGCUGGGUAUAAGAACAAGACAUCCCACUCGGAAUCAAUCUUAUCUAUGGAGGGAUAGCUCAAAGGAUUUUCUUCCAUUUUGGACUUGUACAGAAUUCGGAUUGCGUAAUGGCAACAACAUAAGGUUUUGGGAGGAUACUUGAUAGGAUGAGAUACUGCUCCUCUCUUCUCAUAGAACCCUACCUAAAAGCAGUGAAACAAACAUUUCGGUGGGCCUCACAGAGGAGCUGGAGAAAGAGCGACUGGAAGAUUGAGUUUGAUGGGCCUCUAUGAAAGCGAGGAAUUAGAAGAGCUCCUUAUUCAUCUCGCUCCGAUUCAACGUUUUAGAGUCGCAGAUAUAUCGGUGUGGAAACUCUUUAACUUUUGUUUUAAAAAAAAUCCGUUAGUUCCUCUAUUAUUAUUAUCUUAACAAUGGAGGACUUCUAUAUCCCUUCUAUAUCAGAUGCCUCGGAGAAGGUGAAAGUGUUCAUGUGAUGAAAAAUAGGAUUCAAACUAAAUAUGGCAAACUAAAUACAUGCUCCAAGAUGUACUAACCGUACCGGCUCAUAAAUAUGGCAAAUCUUGAAAGACAAUAAGCAGAAUAUUUGGUUGUGAUUCAAAUAAUUCGGUCGCCCACCGUAACUCGCCCAAAUCAAGCAUGAGAAGCAACAAAAGAGAGAGAGAGAGAGAGAGAGAGAGAGAGAGAGAGAGAGAGAGAGAGAGANNNNNNNNNNNNNNNNNNNNGAGAGAGAGAGAGAUUGAAGAAUCUCGGAAAAUAACACAAAAAGAUUAAUGUUUAUCAAAAAUACCUUGAUAUCCUCCGAAACUCAUUCACAUUCAAAACGAUCUGAACUAACCAACAAGAGAAACGGCACCAAAAACAUGAGAAAUAAAUAAAACUAGCAAAGGAUCAAAGAUCUUAGAGAGAUAAAUGAAAAGUUCAAUUCUAACCGAAGGAAUUCCACAUUCCCUGUAAUUCAUCCAAAAACAAACGGUCUAGGCUAAAGAACCAAAGAGUAAACCCUAAAACAAGAAAGAAAAAUCAAGAAAAAUCAAGAACAUGUUCCUCGGAAGCGCCAUUAUCGAGCUCAUAAAGAGAGAAGAAAGAGUAUCCCAAGAAAGACGGGAAAAAAAAGAUGGCGAAAGAUAGUGGAGGCACUUACCAAGAGGCUUCUCUUUCUCUUUCGCUUGCUCAUUGUCUCGCUCCCUCGGCUGCGGUUACCGAAAUCAGAGCCAUGGAAGGGUCCUAUUUAGAGAGGCGAUGAAGUCGGUGGGUCUUUCGGAUCCGUGUAAUCCCAGCUGCCCAUCGGACGACGCGUGUAUCGCAUCGCGCGUAUAACGUUCAUUUUGCU